GUGGGGAAUCUUCCGCAAUGGACGAAAGUCUGACGGAGCAACGCCGCGUGAGUGAAGAAGGUUUUCGGAUCGUAAAGCUCUUUCGUUAGGGACGAACGUGCUCUUUGUGAAUAAUGAGGAGUAAUGACGGUACCUAAAUAAGAAGCCACGGCUAACUACGUGCCAGCAGCCGCGGUAAUACGUAGGUGGCAAGCGUUGUCCGGAAUUAUUGGGCGUAAAGCGCGCGCAGGCGGGAUAUCAAGUCUGUCUUAAAAGUGCGAGGCUCAACCUCGUGAGGGGACAGAAACUGGUAUUCUUGAGUGUCGGAGAGGAAAGUGGAAUUCCAAGGGUAGCGGUGAAAUGCGUAGAGAUUUGGAAGAACACCAGUGGCGAAGGCGACUUUCUGGACGAUGUCUGACGCUGAGGCGCGAAAGCUAGGGGAGCGAACGGGAUUAGAUACCCGAGUAGUCC
rnacentral:rRNA from 1 species